rnacentral:rRNA from 1 species
AGGGAAUCUUCCACAAUGGACGAAAGUCUGAUGGAGCAACGCCGCGUGAGUGAUGAAGGUUUUCGGAUCGUAAAACUCUGUUGUAAGGGAAGAACCAGUACGUCAGGCAAUGGACGUACCUUGACGGUACCUUAUUAGAAAGCCACGGCUAACUACGUGCCAGCAGCCGCGGUAAUACGUAGGUGGCAAGCGUUGUCCGGAAUUAUUGGGCGUAAAGCGCGCGCAGGUGGUUUCUUAAGUCUGAUGUGAAAGCCCACGGCUUAACCGUGGAGGGUCAUUGGAAACUGGGAGACUUGAGUGCAGUAAAGGUGGGCGGAAUUCGUGGUGUAGCGGUGAAAUGCUUAGAUAUCACGAAGAACUCCAAUUGCGAAGGCAGCUCACUGGAGUGUAACUGACGCUGAUGCACGAAAGCAUGGGGAGCAAACA